rnacentral:rRNA from 1 species
CAGGCCUAACACAUGCAAGUCGAACGCAUCCUUCGGGGUGAGUGGCAGACGGGUGAGUAACACGUGGGAACGUACCCUUAGGUUCGGAAUAACCCUGGGAAACUAGGGCUAAUACCGGAUAUCUCCGAGAGGAGAAAGGCUUGUCCGCCUGAGGAAUGGCCCGCGUCCGAUUAGCUAGUUGGUGUGGUAAUGGCGCACCAAGGCGACGAUCGGUAGCUGGUCUGAGAGGAUGACCAGCCACAUUGGGACUGAGACACGGCCCAAACUCCUACGGGAGGCAGCAGUGGGGAAUAUUGGACAAUGGGCGCAAGCCUGAUCCAGCCAUGCCGCGUGAGUGAUGACGGCCUUAGGGUUGUAAAGCUCUUUUACCUGGGAAGAUAAUGACGGUACCAGGAGAAUAAGCCCCGGCUAACUUCGUGCCAGCAGCCGCGGUAAU